AUUCUAGGAGCAUUUGGCCAGAGUGAUCUUUCUGAAAUGGAAGACUCAUGUAUUGUUCCUGUGAGUCAGAUGGGAAGCUGAUGGAAAGUCUUCAGCAGAGAAAAAUCCAAAGUGACUGCAAUGAUUUACGUGACUCUACAGAUCCUGGCCCCUAUUGAUUUUUCUGAGAACAAAAUAAAUAUCCACAGUGAGUCACAAAUGUAAAUGUAUUGAGUGCCCAAUGUAUGGAGCCCUUUCUCCAAGACCUCACUGCCGUAAAUACAAAUAUAACUGAGAACUGGUGAUUUGAAGAUGAUUCUUGGGAUAGCGGGCUAGGCGGCACUUCACACUGGCUUUUGGGGCCACAUAGGGGUGUAAUCAUGUUAUCACCCUGCACAACCCCAGAGGGUACCAUACACAACCCAUUUGACCAAACAUGGCAGUCCUGAAAGGAAUGAUGAUUGAAAGCCAAGACUGAGCUUUGGCAAGGAAACCACCUCUGAAUUACCAACUCAUUGUCUAUAAUGUAAUGAUAGCAUCUACCUCUUAGUAAUUUUGUGAACAUUAAAUGAAUAAAGCAUGACAAAAGGCCUAC
rnacentral:lncRNA from 10 species